rnacentral:snRNA from 1 species
AUCGAUUCUCGGCCUUUUGGCUAAGAUCAAGUGUAGUAUCUGUUCUUAUCAGUUUAAAAAGAAUUUUCUUUCUAAUCUUUGUUUUCUAAGAGUUCUUAUCAUAAGUAGUUGUUGAAACUUAUC